rnacentral:rRNA from 1 species
UUGACAUCCAGCGAACUUUCCCAGAGGAUGGAUUGGUGCCUUCGGGAACGCUGAGACAGGUGCUGCAUGGCUGUCGUCAGCUCGUGUUGUGAAAUGUUGGGUUAAGUCCCGNAACAAGCGCAACCCUUAUCCUUUGUUGCCAGCGAUUCGGUCGGGAACUCAAAGGAGACUGCCGGUGAUAAACCGGAGGAAGGUGGGGAUGACGUCAAGUCAUCAUGGCCCUUACGAGUAGGGCUACACACGUGCUACAAUGGCGCAUACAAAGAGAAGCGACCUCGCGAGAGCAAGCGGACCUCAUAAAGUGCGUCGUAGUCCGGAUCGGAGUCUGCAACUCGACUCCGUGAAGUCGGAAUCGCUAGUAAUCGUGGAUCAGAAUGCCACGGUGAAUACGUUCCCGGGCCUUGUACACACCGCCCGUCACACCAUGGGAGUGGGUUGCAAAAGAAGUAGGUAGCUUAACCUCCGGGAGGGCGCUUACCACUUUGUGAUUCAUGACUGGGGUGAAGUCGUAACAAGGUAAGCGUAGCGAG